UACGGAGGGGGCAAGCGUUGUUCGGAAUUACUGGGCGUAAAGGGCGCGUAGGCGGACCAUUAAGUUAGGGGUGAAAGGCCUGGGCUCAACCUGGGAACGGCCUCUAAGACUGAUGGCCUGGAGUCCGGAAGAGGAUGGCGGAAUUCCCAGUGUAGAGGUGAAAUUCGUAGAUAUUCGGAGGAACACCAGAAGCGAAGGCGACCCCCUGGUUGGAUACUGACGCUGAGACGCGAAAGCGUGGGGAGCAAACAGG
rnacentral:rRNA from 1 species